rnacentral:rRNA from 1 species
CCUACGGGAGGCAGCAGUGAGGAAUAUUGGUCAAUGGACGAGAGUCUGAACCAGCCAAGUAGCGUGAAGGAUGACUGCCCUAUGGGUUGUAAACUUCUUUUAUAUGGGAAUAAAAUGUUCCACGUGUGGGAUUUUGUAUGUACCAUAUGAAUAAGGAUCGGCUAACGCCGUGCCAGCAGCCGCGGUAAUACGGAGGAUCCGAGCGUUAUCCGGAUUUAUUGGGGUUAAAGGGAGCGUAGGUGGAAUGUUAAGUCAGUUGUGAAAGUUUGCGGCUCAACCGUAAAAUUGCAGUUGAAACUGGCAGUCUUGAGUACAGUAGAGGUGGGCGGAAUGCGUGGUGUAGCGGUGAAAUGCUUAGAUAUCACGAAGAACUCCGAUUGCGAAGGCAGUUCACUGGACUGCAACUGACACUGAGGCUCGAAAGUGUGGGUAUCAAACAGGAUUAGAUACCCCAGUAGUC